UACGGGGGGAGCAAGCGUUGUUCGGAUUUACUGGGCGUAAAGGGCGCGUAGGCGGCCACCGCAAGUCGACUGUGAAAUCUCCGGGCUUAACCCGGAAAGGUCAGCCGAUACUGCGGGGCUAGAGUGCAGAAGGGGCAACUGGAAUUCUCGGUGUAGCGGUGAAAUGCGUAGAUAUCGAGAGGAACACCUGCGGCGAAGGCGGCACUCUGGGCCGGUACUGACGCUGAGGAGCGAAAGCGUGGGUAGCAAACAGG
rnacentral:rRNA from 1 species